GCCAAAACAAACUAUUCAACAGAUAUUCCUCCUAACAGAGAUUCAGCUGGCUAGGCCACAAGAAGAACCUCCUAGUUGAGUGAUUCUCAGAACUCGAAUCUACCACGAGAAGAGCCUUUGCCUCUUACAAACAACCAAAAUGUGAGAACUGAAUAAAGCACCCGGCACUAUGACAUGCUCAAGAAAUGUUUGACGUGAUGUCUGGACCUAUCGGCUUAGCGGAACUCUCAAGUUCCUGAACGUGCCCAAGCUGAAAGCUUCUCUAAACCACUGGAUUUUAAAGAUCUUCAGCGCUAGGACUGUAGCACUUGUAAUCAACUCUCUCAUAGCAGUUCGUUCAUAUUCCACUAAAAACAGUUGUUUUUUAGCUGUUCCACAUCCUUACAGCAAAGCUGUCAGUCAACAUCUUUUCCUGAAGGGAAUAUGCCAUACACUUGGUGGCACCUCACUUUGUCUCCACACACUAGUCAUCCAUCUAAAGACACUAGCAUGGAGUUACCAAGUUCUGCUUAUGACCAUGGUGGCCCAGAUGCUGCUGGAGUUAUCCGCAGAAAUGGCAAGGAUCACAACAAAAUAUAUCUGAUUCAGAAAGGAAACUGGCACUUAUCUGAGGAUCAUUGAGGACCAGAACAACACUGAUUACAGAAAACAGAGAAAUACCUUAUUGGAGUCUGGUUAUUGGGAUCCACCCUGAGAUGUGAGAGUCGAACAUGCUGUGUCUGUUUUGAAGAAAUCCAGUUGUUGAUUCAGCUAGAGAUACUUCCCAGUCAGGUGGUUAUGAAUCCACAGACACAUCUGGCCACAUGGUAACAUGAGCAGAUGUGUGGUCAGUCCAAGCCUAGAUUCCUGUGCUAUUAGAUUCCUAUCUGGUCUUUGGCCUUUUCUUUAAGGUCUGUGAGAGUCCUCCAGAGUUUUAUAUGUGAAAUGCUGCUUGUUUAUAUGAACACAGGAAGACUUAGCCAUCCUCUCUCUACACUGGGAAGACUGCAUUUAUCAUGGUUUUCACAUGACACUUUGGGCAUACUUGCAGGUGAAGUAUAAGUAUAAAGUCAUUUUUAAAGCCUAGGUUAAUAUGACUCAUUACAAUUCUAGAUCCAAUUUUGGCCCAGCAGAGAGGAAACUUUUACCAACCGAUGGCCGCCCGAUGACCUGAAUGGAAAGAAUUGGUGGCCCCGGGAGAGCACACAAUUGAGAGAAGUGAUCACAUCACCAGAUGUGACGUCACAGUUUGGCACCAGCUGCCAUCCUGGGCACAGAGAAUGCACAGUCCACUCAAGUCUGAGCUUCCUCUCUGGAUUCCCCUGGGGUUCAGUACAGAGCACUGUACAGUGGUGUAACCUCUAUACUGGACUGAUGGAAAAACUAAGCUUGAAAUCUGUCAUGGAAUUACAGCAAGAACAAAAAGUGAAAUACGUUAUCUGAACUGUAUAAAAAGGGAGGUAUGUGAAAGUACCAGGAAGACUCAGAAUCUGAAGUGGUGAGAAUAUUGAAGGAAAGGUUCAAAUCUGAGCUGAUCUUACAGUCAAGGCAGACACCAUCAGUGGGAUGGUAGAGCAUACCUCGGACACCUCUCAAAGAGCAUGGCAGGAGUGGGGUGACUCACCACUCCCUACCCCAAUCAGGCUUGGGCCUACUCAACUUCAUAAAGACAAAGGACAUGUCAAGAUAAAGCCAGUUAGGCUUGUGUUUCCUGGCCAGAGAACUGGCUUCUCAGAAAUCAGGUAACUGGCAGUUUGUUAAUCUAGCUGUUACUCUUGGAAGGCCCUGCCCCCACUGCAGCACUCCCUACCUUAUCCAUUUGUCCUCUCCUCCCCCUGACUCUAGCUACAUAAGUAAGCCCCACUAUUUCAAUAAACAAACUGUCCUCUGAAACAGUCUCCCAGGUAGUUCAUAUCUGCUGCAUUCACCACCACCUGAGACCCUGCUUCCCAGCUCCUCCAAGUCCUGAGACCAUCACUCUCCAAAGACCAUUGAGGGCAGAGGACACACAACCACCAGCAUAUGGGCAUGCUGAGAGUAAAGAAAGCCCCUCCCCCUCAGAUAAAGAAACAGCAUUUGCAGAAUCAAAAGACCCAAGGGCUUGGGCUAUACAAGAAUUGUGGAACUCAUGUCAAAGGCCAAAUGUCAAAAGUCAAAAACAGACUGUGAGGAUGUCUUUGACUAUUGAACACAAGUCAUGCUGCAGACAGGGAACUCACAGCAGACCAUGUGGGAAUGAAGGUGUUGUAGUUUAUCAAGAGACCCUCACUCACAAAGACUACAGAGACAACCAUCAUUGCAAAACACAUGAGGAUUUUUAUUAUUCCAACAUGUUGGGGAACCUCCUCUCAGCACGCAGUCCAGAGGAGAGACCCAGAACAAAGAAAGAACACAUUUUUUAUACCUUUGUAAUGGCAGAUUUAGGCAACAGGGUAGUUGGCUUAUUUUAAUUGGUGUAGCCAAUAACCUUUUCAGGCAUUGGUUGAUUUGACCCAGAAUUCAGUGUGAGGUGAGGUAAGAGAAUUGUUAAUGUUGUUCUGGCAGCUGCAAGCUUAGUCAUUUUGACAGUUAAAACUAUGUUUCUAUAUUUGUUUAGUCAGCCAGCUUCUUUAUCUGGCUCUGCACUUGGCCUGCUAGUAGUGUUUGUAAAAUCUUUUAGAAGGGAGAAGGUAGUGGGUGGUCUUGAAUUCAUUUUGGAUAUUACAAAGGGUCCACUCCACAAUGCUGUACACAAAAGGCUCAACCUGUCUGUCCAGGGCUGUGUGGAUGGAUAGACUAGGUAAGGAAGAGCCCAAAAGCAGUGUGAUGGUUUGAAUCAGAAUGGUCUGAAUGACUCAUAUAUUUAAAUGCCUGGCAUCCUAUUGGUGGAACUGUUUGGGAAGGAUUAGGAGGUGUGGCCUUGCUGAAGGGGAUGAGUCAGUGUGGGCCAAGCUUUAAGAAUUCAAAAGCCCAUGCCAUUCCCAGCCAGGAAGCUUUCACUCUGCUUUGCACUUGUGUGUUAAGACAUAAGUUCUCAGCUACCACUCCAGUACCAUGCCUGCUUGCCGGCCUCCCUGCCUGCCUGCCUGCCUGCUGCCAACCUUUCACCAUCAUGGCCAUGGACUUUAGCACUCUGGAACUGUAACUUCCCAACAGGAAUUUUCUUCUCUACAUUGCUUUGAUAAUGGUGCCUUAUCACAUCAAGGAUAGUAACUAGGCAGGCUGUUCAAGUUUGCUUUCAAUUGCUGUGAUAAACACCUGGCUCAAAAGCAACCUGGCAAGAAAAAUGUUUGUUUUACUUAGAAUUCUCAGGUCCAUUAUCAAGAAAAGUCUGGGCAGGAUUCUAGAGGCAGAAACUGAAAUAGAGGCUGUGGGGGAGUGCUGCCUACUGGCUUGCUCCCCAUUGCUUGCUCAGCCUGCUCUCUAAUACCACCUAGGACCACUAGCCCAGGGUUGGUACCUCCCACAGUUAGUGAGGCACUUCCAUGUAAAUCACUGAUCAAGAAAAUGCCCCCACAGACUUUACUACAGGACAAUGUUGGGGGGGGGGCAUUUUCUCUACUCAGGUCCAUCUUCUCAGAUGAUCUGAGUAUG